rnacentral:rRNA from 1 species
GGGUGAGUAACGCGUAGGUAACCUGCCUUGUAGCGGGGGGUAACUAUUGGAAACGAUAGCUAAUACCGCAUAACAAUGAAUGACUCAUGUCAUUUAUUUGAAAGGGGCAAUUGCUCCACUACAAGAUGGACCUGCGUUGUAUUAGCUAGUUGGUGAGGUAACGGCUCACCAAGGCCACGAUGCAUAGCCGACCUGAGAGGGUGAUCGGCCACACUGGGACUGAGACACGGCCCAGACUCC